rnacentral:rRNA from 1 species
GACGAACGCUGGCGGCGUGCUUAACACAUGCAAGUCGAACGGAAAGGCCCUGCUUUUGUGGGGUGCUCGAGUGGCGAACGGGUGAGUAACACGUGAGUAACCUGCCCUUGACUUUGGGAUAACUUCAGGAAACUGGGGCUAAUACCGGAUAGGAGCUCCUGCUGCAUGGUGGGGGUUGGAAAGUUUCGGCGGUUGGGGAUGGACUCGCGGCUUAUCAGCUUGUUGGUGGGGUAGUGGCUUACCAAGGCUUUGACGGGUAGCCGGCCUGAGAGGGUGACCGGCCACAUUGGGACUGAGAUACGGCCCAGACUCCUACGGGAGGCAGCAGUGGGGAAUAUUGGACAAUGGGCGCAAGCCUGAUCCAGCCAUGCCGCGUGUGUGAAGAAGGCCUUCGGGUUGUAAAGCACUUU